rnacentral:rRNA from 1 species
AGAUUGAACGCUGGCGGCAUGCCUUACACAUGCAAGUCGAACGGCAGCACGGGAGCAAUCCUGGUGGCGAGUGGCGAACGGGUGAGUAAUACAUCGGAACGUGCCCAAUCGUGGGGGAUAACGCAGCGAAAGCUGUGCUAAUACCGCAUAAGAUCUACGGAUGAAAGCAGGGGAUCGCAAGACCUUGCGCGAAUGGAGCGGCCGAUGGCAGAUUAGGUAGUUGGUGAGGUAAAGGCUCACCAAGCCUUCGAUCUGUAGCUGGUCUGAGAGGACGACCAGCCACACUGGGACUGAGACACGGCCCAGACUCCGUACGGGA